AACACUUCCAAGGCAUAUGAGCAAUUAAUUCAUAAAAGGACAGUUGGCCAGGGGAGGAGCCAAGAUGGCCGAAUAGGAACAGCUCCGGUCUACAGCUCCCAGCGCCAGCGACGCAGAAGACGGGUGAUUUCUGCAUUUCCAUCUGAGACCUGAGUAUUUGCAGAUUUUGGUACCUGCAAGAGGUCCUGGAACCAAUACCCCAUGGAUACUGAGGGGACAACUGUAAAUAGUAAAGAAACCAAGGCUUAGAGACCUGCUCACAGUCGUUUUGUGAGGGAAUGCAACAUCUGGGUCUAGGGUCCAAAUCUAUCUCUGCUGUGAAGAGGAACUCAUACAGGAGAUCUACAUGAUUAUGAAUUCUUGGCCUUGCAGUGGAGGGAUUUGUCCUCACAGUGCUGUGGAAACUGGUGAAGAGGUCUGAGUUUGGAUGUAAAGCUGUAGUUUCCGGCCUGGUGCUGGCAACUGAAGUCCAUAGACAGCUGGGCAAAGAAGAUGGAUGGGAAGCAGAGGAAGCAAAGACAAGCUGAAUGAAGGAGAAACUGGUGCCUUCCAUCGUGGAGCU